CGCCAAGGGCGGCAAACCAUUUCCCGGUCACGACUGGUCGUUGCGAAGUUCUGAAGCGCCGGCGAGAAUGGAUUCGAAUGUGAGCCCCUAGCUCAAUUUGUGGGUCGCUGGAUAGCGCUGCUUACCACAGCGUCGGGUCAGAAUGGACAUUCUAUGUUGCCAGAGAGCAUGCGGAGCUUGUAAGGUAGCCACUUUGUGUCAACUGUGUAUUUCAUGACCAUCAAACAUCCAGGUAGGUGGAGAUUUCGUGCAAUUCCUACCAAAAAUUUGGCAUGAUAAAGAGCAGCUUCAAGUAAUACACGCUUCACGGCCACCUAGCGAGAUAAAUCUCAGUUAUUCAAGAAGCAAGUUCGAUCAGAAAGAGCCAGAGAUUGUCAACCUCGAUGCAUGGUGGUCACAUUUCGCAGAGUAGGGUUUGAGAUAUCACAUGACCUUGGAAGUCAAAUCCGAGAACACUAACCACUGGUAGUUAGAAAGUACACCUUACUUUUUGCUUGAUCCAAACAUUGAAUUGAUCGUCAUUAUUAAGCUCAUUUAGUGCGGUACUUAUUAACAAGAAAAGGAAGCGACAGCCAUUCUGAUUCGAGUCCAUUUCGUUUUCAUUCAGCGCCUCGAAUACAUGUCACGUUCUGUAUGCCAAUGUUGUAAAUACCUGACAAUGUCAGAAGAAAUACAUGUCAAAUUCGGAUACUACGUAUAUAACCAUGUAUUACUCCGAAAAUUUUUCCCCCACAACGGAGAUCAUUUGAAGAUCAUCGGGUCGAAUGGAAUUCCACUUUUGAAGGCAGUUCGGGGUAGUUGCCCGUUCUUGAUAUGUACCGGGUAUGUAAUCCCUUGUGUUUGGGGGCUAGAAAUCACAUGUCGACUUAUUGAAUAUUGCGGCCGAAUGCUACCGUGUGCUUUCUAUAAGUAACUACAUUUCGAAGUUCCUACAUAAUGCCGUGGUGCAAGUAUGUUGUAAUGUAUCCACCAUUCGUCUUGGUGGAACUGGCUGAUCAUUCGGCUGUAUGAUUACCGUCGCCAUCAACACGAUUGUUUUUGAACAAUUUAGCUCAGCUCAGAUAAUGCGCGGUGGCCAUUCGCAAGAAUGUGUGGACGCAUAAAUUUAUGGACAAGGAUACUCAGCUUAAGCUUAAAUUACAGUUUUAACCUAACUCUAAGAGGUUUAUGUUUAAAUAUGAGCGAUAACUACUAAGUUACAGAGUAGAUGAGUUUUGACUGUUUAUGGUAUCCCGACGCUAAAACGUACCGUAUCCGGAG
rnacentral:lncRNA from 1 species